CCUUGCUCCGGCCCAGCCACAAAGCUGCUUCGUCCUACUCCCCGGUCCCGGACGUCCCAACGGACCAAGGCAAAUCCAACGGUGCAUAACACGCCACGUUACCCCUUGUCUUUCACCGAUUCCUGAGUGCCCGUCAUCCACCGUGCGUAUGCUCUGAGAUUUGUCCUGGUCCGUGCGAUAAUUUUUCGUCCUAGCCGCCCUGUCGCCCAAUCAAGAACCCUCCUUCUUUCCACAGUCUCCAGGUAAAAAAANAAAAAAAAACCAACCGCCUUGCUCCCCCUCUCGCUCCAGGAAGCUUACGCCUUUAUUCGUAGCCUUUUCGGCUGUCGUUCUUGAUCCUCGCUCGCAGGUCGUCGAGGAUUUCCUUCCCGAGGAGAUAGGCGAUGGCGUCUCCUCCGAUCCUCUCCAUCACCCUCCCGUCCGAGACUGGUCGCGUCCUUGGCAUCCAGUGCCACACCGUUCAGGUUUUCAUCCGGGUUCUGUCUUCUUUCCUUCCUUGAUUACCCUUUGUUUCCUUUUUUUUUUCCCUCGUGGAAUUAUAUAAUCCCUAGUCUUUACAUUGGAAAGUGACGGAAGUUCCGGACCCUUUCUUGGGGAAAGAUGGAUGGGUCCAAUAAAGGGGCCAAAUAGCUGCAGAACGAUGCUUUUGGACCGAAAUGGGUGCUUUAUGGCCCGCCUACCGAACUCUACGACGUCUGAUACGAAAUGGUAGGGGAAAAAAAAAUACAGGGUAUGACUUCGAUGCACCCCGAGAUCGGAAACAUGAGUGGCUUCAAAUUCCUCAAAGAUUUCCUGAAGAGCCCUUGAUUCAAAAGUGUUUCUUUUUGAAAUCACGGGAGUUCCUACAGCAAAAGAGGGAGAAAAACUACACCACUUGUUUCUUUAAUCUCGUGCUCAUAGAGUCAAGCCCUGGAAAAUAUAGUCUAGAAAACCUGCCAUACAUAUAGCACGCGAGUAACAUACCUCGCCGUCACUUUUUCUAGUAUGUGGGUUUUUUACCAUAUGAAGUCCAAGGACAAGCUCCAGGGUGAGUUUUGGCAAUGGAGACAUACUGUGUAAAUCAGUGGGCAAGAGGCAUGGUCCUGCAGAGUCUUAAAGUUGCUGAAGUCCAUAAUGCUGAACACUCAGGGGUCGGUUUUCUUCCAUUGAGAGAGAUGAAGGAAGCCAAAUCAACUCAACUCAACUCUGUCUAUAUUUUGUACCUACGUGGCCCCAAGCCGGAAUAAAAGAGGAGAAUUGCGGGUUACUGUGAAACAGAUGGACUGGAAGCUUGUAAUUUUCUUCAUGCUGCUGGACCUAUAAAGGCUGUGCUACAAAGAACGGUAGCAGACUAUGAAAAAGAGGGUUUUGAUCCUCAGUCAAGCAGCUUGGAGACCCGAUUAAUUCAAAGCCAGAAUGACAUCCAAAGCCCAGAGCUUAAAUAUAAGGCCUAAAAAUAUACUUAAAAUGAUCGUGGCAUGAAGCUUCACUUGCCUGAAGGCAUAGGAAGUAGAGCUGCUGUCAUCUUCAUAGUCAUGCUGAAACCAUUUUUUAUAUCAUUCUGUUUUCUCAAAGGUUUUCUAACCAUAUGGGCUGAAGAUCCUGAAAUAAGGAUUCAUGAUCAAGUGAUCCUAUCAGUUGGAAUUGUAGAGAGAACAAUCUUCCAUUAAAUUUACUGUGUUUCGACAUCCGACAUAAAGCUUGCUUCACUAAGUACCACAGCCUGCAGCUGCCAAGUUGUUGCUGUCGCUGGGGGGAUGAUGGGAUUGAUUCGAGGAAAACUUGGCAAACACCAACCGUAAUGCUCCGAAAUCAUCUGGAAGCUGGUAAAGUGAAGGCAAGGAAAUUGCGUCUGAGGUCUGAAUUUGGGCGGUCUAAGGCCUCCUGGCAUGAUUAUUUGAUGACUUAAAACAUGAUGAACUAAAAAUUGUGUUUCCCAGGGCUCCUCCAUGUGAUGCUCCCUGCAUUACUGGGAAAUAUAGCGUAGAGAUUUUGAUUCUUGUUAGAUUAGACAAUUAUUUUUCUAUCUUGUUAUGAUCAAUCAGAAUUUCCUUGUUUUCCAUUAAGCUUGUUCGUGUGUGGUCUUGUACAUUGGUGGGAAAUAUAACUAAGAUAUUUUGAUUCAACGGAGACAA